rnacentral:rRNA from 1 species
UACGUAGGGGGCAAGCGUUGUCCGGAAUCAUUGGGCGUAAAGAGCGUGUAGGCGGAUUGUUAAGUCAGGGGGUGAAAUCCUGGAGCUCAACUCCAGAACUGCCUUUGAUACUGGCGAUCUUGAGUCCGGGAGAGGUGAGUGGAACUGCGAGUGUAGAGGUGAAAUUCGUAGAUAUUCGCAAGAACACCAGUGGCGAAGGCGGACUCACUGGCCCGGUACUGG